rnacentral:rRNA from 1 species
AUUGAACGCUGGCGGCAUGCCUUACACAUGCAAGUCGAACGGUAACGCGGGGCAACCUGGCGACGAGUGGCGAACGGGUGAGUAACGCAUCGGAACGUGCCCAGUAGUGGGGGAUAGCCCGGCGAAAGCCGGAUUAAUACCGCAUACGACCUACGGGUGAAAGGGGGGAGUCGCAAGACCUCUCGCUAUUGGAGGCGGCCGAUGUCAGAUUAGGUAGUUGGUGGGGUAAAAGGACCUACCAAGCCGACGAUCUGUAGCUGGUCUGAGAGGACGACCAGCCACACUGGGACUGAGACACGGCCCAGACUCCUACGGGAGGCAGCAGUGGGGAAUUUUGGACAAUGGGCGCAAGCCUGAUCCAGCCAUGCCGCGUGCGGGAAGAAGGCC